rnacentral:rRNA from 1 species
GGUCAUGCGCGGAGCCUGAUGCAGCACGCCGCGUGCGGGAUGACGGCCUUCGGGUUGUAAACCGCUUUCGCCUGUGACGAAGCGUGAGUGACGGUAAUGGGUAAAGAAGCACCGGCUAACUACGUGCCAGCAGCCGCGGUGAUACGUAGGGUGCGAGCGUUGUCCGGAUUUAUUGGGCGUAAAGGGCUCGUAGGUGGUUGAUCGCGUCGGAAGUGUAAUCUUGGGGCUUAACCCUGAGCGUGCUUUCGAUACGGGUUGACUUGAGGAAGGUAGGGGAGAAUGGAAUUCCUGGUGGAGCGGUGGAAUGCGCAGAUAUCAGGAGGAACACCAGUGGCGAAGGCGGUUCUCUGGGCCUUUCCUGACGCUGAGGAGCGAAAGCGUGGGGAGCGAACAGGCUUAGAUACCCUGGUAGUCCACGCUGUAAACGGUGGGUACUAGGUGUGGGGUCCAUUCCACGGGUUCCGUGCCGUAGCUAACGCUUUAAGUACCCCGCCUGGGGAGUACGGCCGCAAGGCUAAAACUCAAAGAAAAUUGACGGAGACGCUUGACGG